CAAAAAAAUGGACUCAAGGCGACUGUGGCUUGAUUCCCUUCGAUUUAUUCCCAGGUGUCAAUAAGCAAUGAAAUUGUAACCAAAAAGAAGCCAAGAAAAAAGCCCUAAAGAAAGACAGAGGACGUACUGUUACUGAGUGGUGGCUUACAUGUACGUAGUAGUAAACGUUACAUUCGCUAUGUCCAUUACAAAUUCACACUACGAAAUGUCUCUGUACAAUCAUGAAUUCUCUCACCAUGACGUCUAAAAGAUUGCCUAAAUUGGUAUGAACUCUAAAGCCAACGGAAAUUUAGGGCUUAGGUUAUCCGACAAGGAGCCAUGAUGCUGUGAAUGCCAGCUCACCAAGGUGCAGGUCUCAAGCGUGGGACUGUCACUGAGAAAAGCCCAGAAACUUCUCAGGUCCCGCCAAAAUGUAAUACAAUGUAAGCAACUUCCAGCCGAAGGGCGUGGCUUAGAGAUAAUUUAGUCUGCACGCGCAAGGGACGCUCAUACUCACGCAUUGAUCUCGUGCCAGAGACCGGCAGGUCAGAGUUCAUAUUCGCAUCAAAAGUAAUUAUCUCACCGGGGAAACCCCCAGAUCCCUACAGUAGCAGUCAAUCAAACGCUAACGUAGCGACACUCGUGGGGUGCAUUAGCAAAAGGCCCAGUUAUGUCAAGUGCAGUUUUCUGCCAUGGACCCUCCAGUAAUGGAAGUAGCUGGAGAGGGGUGUUCCUAGAGCCAGCUGUCUUGUCACUGGUUUGGCACGGCAAACAACUGCUGAUUGUCUCUUCGACCAUGCAAUCCGUCGUUGGCCACCAGUAACAAUCACGUUAUUGCUCUUUACACCGAACAGUCCUUGGUGUGUCUUCAUGCGGGUCUCUUUCUGCAAGUCAUGUUUACUAGUGGUGCUGUUUACCAACAGAACAUUCAAGGACUGAAUGAUUAUGUCAUCGUCAUUAUCCUGAAAUGAGUCUGUUGCAGCGAUGGGAAGUCGUGACAUGGCGUCCGUAGCAGCAUUACGGACACCUGCACAGUAUUCAACAGUGCAGUUGAAGCGCAUGAGACGUGCAGCUCAUUGAGCGUGAAAUGCGUACUGACUGGUGUCUGGAGCCACGAGAGGACAGCAUUGAAGUGAGGGGCUGGUGAUCUGUCCUUAGGAUGAAAUGGCGCCCCCCAAGUACUGAAACUCGCAUGCCCACACACACACGAGAGAGCUUCCUCCUCACCUACGGAAUAGUUGUAUUCUGCAGAUAACAACAUGCGAGAUGCGAAUGCAACAGGAUAUUCGCGACCUUCUCUACCUGAAUGAGGACAGCACCAAGUUUGUAGGAUGAUGCAUCAGUAGACACAGUCACAGGCAGUGCAGCGACCGAUCAGUUCCUUAUUUGUUUCAAAACUUUGCAGUGCAGCAGAAGACCACUCGAACUCGAUCAGCUCCUUUGCGAAUGAUCAUGACACGUAGAAGUUCAACUACUGUAGAGAAGGUCGGGCACAAAGCGGGCGUAAUACGAAGCGAGUAUAGGGAAAGAUCGCAGUCGUGGAUGCGUCAGUAGGAUGGGUCACGUGCUUUGUUGCAUCAACAUGGGCCCUUGUGACGAUGCAGUAUGUCCGAGAAGCGAAGGGACGACAGAUUGAACUGACACCUGGCCGCAUUACGACUCAUUCCCACAUCCCGUGAAUGCGCUUCAGGACGUUUGUCAUGUUCAGCAUGGUUUCGGCUACACAACAAUGUCAUCUUUAAGUAGGCCUGCACAUCUGGUAGCCCACUAAGUACAGAUGACGUCAGUUUCUGGAAUGCUGCUGGUGCUGAAGCAAGACCGAAGCAAACCCGUCGGAAGAGAAGCGGUCCUUCGUGGGUAAUGAAGGCAGUGUAGUCGCGAGAUUGUUUUGAAAGCUCAAUUUGAUGAUAAGCUAAAUUGAGAUCAAGUGUUCUGAAAACUGUUGCAUUACGUAGUUCUGCUAAGAGUUCUUGUAGGUCUGGAAUUGGGAAAGUGUCAACGACGACAGUGCGAUUAACUUGCCGAAGAUCCACACGGAGGCGAAUGUCUCCUGAUUUCUUGUAGGUAACGAUGAUUGGCGAAACCCAUUCUCAUUCAUCAAUACGCUCUAUGGUGCCAGCUUUCUCUAGACGUUUCAGUUCCACGGAAACCUUAUCCCGAGUUGCAAAGGGUAGUCUGCGUAACCAUUGUUGCACUGGCGGAACAUCAGGUUUGACUUUGACACAGUGUGCGAACCCACGAGCAGUGCCAAUAUUGUUUAGAAACAACUUCGGAAACUCAGUGCAAAGGGAAUCCACAUAUUUGGUAGCAUUCACAGAUGAUGUAGAUGUAUUGGGAUCAGGAGGUUCUGGGGACAACUGACGAGCCAUUCAAGGUGAGCUGGAGUGACCGGAUAAGAUCAAACUCAAGAACUGGAUCACCGUUGUCCACAAUGUAGAAAUUUCCUUUCACCACAGUAUCAGUUUUAUCAGAAAGACGAACCAUGGUGCCGAUGUACCCGAGCACGGUAAUUGGUUCACGUAGGGCAAUCUUUUGCGUUAUAUCGCCAUACUCCCCCCCGAAACGUGCAACAACUGAAGCAGUUUACCUAGACGGGAAGGCUAUACCAAUGCCAUGCCAGGCUUCUUCUCCCACCUUUAGGCAUCAUGAACAUUGACGGCCAGAUCACGCGUUACUUCAGACUCGGCUGCACCCAUCUUCAAGUUGCUGCAACUUUAGCAACAGUCCAUGCAUGCUAUGGAGUGAGCGCACCCUACAACGAAAGCCUGAGGCAUAUUGGACUGUAUCGUCGGAAGAAUUAAUCUGACCAAGCGGAUAUUGUAAGGUUCCUUCAAGAAAGGUUUAUUCAUCUUAGAUUACUUCAGGAGGGUUUCGUUGUAGGUAGACGUUGUAGACAUAGAGUGCGGAUAUUGUUACACUUAGCAAAAGGUGCCGGCUGGUGCGUCGCAGAUACAGUGGGCGACGACCAAACUUUAUUUGGCACAUAGACUCAUAAUUAUGACAAACUCAUGCCAUACGGAAUGGGCAUCAGUGGGUGUAUUGAUGGUUUCUCUCGAAAAAAUAAUUGUUGGAAACAAACAUCACUUCGAAUGACCCUCAAUUUAUUGGGGGCUUUUUCAUUCAAUGCCAUCUAAACAUUAUGGCGACUGCCUGUCUUUAGGACUGAUCUUAAGACGGAGAAUGGACAUGUACUUAAUUUUCAAAGAUUCCUUAGGGUCGAUGGGGAUCGGUCUAGCGGUGGACGUAGGUACAGCUUCAUUACUGGGAAGAGUACUGCUGACCAAUGCAUCUAGUGUUGGUAAAAACAACUGAAGAAAGAAUACACCGAGUUCUGUUUUGGGUGACUUUAUUUCGAUGCAUAAAGGAUGACGGUUACUUCUUCGGGAGACAGUUUGGACAAAGGGCUGAUUUGAUUCACAUUCAUGAGAAUGAUACAUUAUUGGUCAAUCCAUUUUUCGAUGUAAAUGUCAGCCAAAGUCAUUUUUGUCUUACGAAGAUUAAGAGUUCAUCAACUUUUCUUCGGCGCAAAGGAUUCAAAUAAAUUGUUUAUUCAAGGUUACUUCCUGUAAAGAUAGGAUGAUCUGGACAAAAUAGCGGAGCUGUGACCACGUUUGAGCUUCCACAGUUGUGCAAUACCCCAGACAGCCUGAAACCAGUGAAUCAGGGUAGAGUGGAUGUGGGUAAGGAGGAAUCCCUCUUCAAAGACAACUACCCUUGCGAUGAGGACCUCUUCUAGUUUGCAUGUUUACUGAUGAAAGCCGCUGGCCGCAGGGCCCCAAUACCCCAGAACAGGCUGUCCAUUUGUACAUUGAUCUAAAAAGACACCUACGAAGAGCUUAAGCGUGAUCCUGUGAAUUAAUACCUCAUGUUCCAUCUGAACAUAAAGGACUGAAAGGCGCACUUCUAUUAGAGCAUGACUCUGGCAUGACAAGUCUCUAGCAGUACAUGUAUAGUAGGGGGCAAACAGAAUUAAGGAUCACUGUCACUUGUGAGACUCAUCAGAUAAAUAAAGAAGGCCAAUGAACAUAAAACUUUAAUACUCAACAAACCUUUAAGAACAGGAAGAUGUAAAGGGAACCCUCCGAGGAAGCACCUGUGUCAGUUUUUAACACAGUUAGGCAUCUUGUGACCAAAGAGGUUCAAAUCUAUUUGCAGUUAAUGAUCUCAUGAUUAAAUGUCUGUUUCUUUUAAAAAUAAAUCAGACGGGGCCUUCCUAGGAAGACUUCUCAGUA
rnacentral:lncRNA from 1 species